AGAGUUUGAUCCUGGCUCAGGAUGAACGCUGGCGGCGUGCCUAAUACAUGCAAGUCGAGCGAACGGACGAGAAGCUUGCUUCUCUGAUGUUAGCGGCGGACGGGUGAGUAACACGUGGAUAACCUACCUAUAAGACUGGGAUAACUUCGGGAAACCGGAGCUAAUACCGGAUAAUAUUUUGAACCGCAUGGUUCAAAAGUGAAAGACGGUCUUGCUGUCACUUAUAGAUGGAUCCGCGCUGCAUUAGCUAGUUGGUAAGGUAACGGCUUACCAAGGCAACGAUGCAUAGCCGACCUGAGAGGGUGAUCGGCCACACUGGAACUGAGACACGGUCCAGACUCCUACGGGAGGCAGCAGUAGGGAAUCUUCCGCAAUGGGCGAAAGCCUGACGGAGCAACGCCGCGUGAGUGAUGAAGGUCUUCGGAUCGUAAAACUCUGUUAUUAGGGAAGAACAUAUGUGUAAGUAACUGUGCACAUCUUGACGGUACCUAAUCAGAAAGCCACGGCUAACUACGUGCCAGCAGCCGCGGUAAUACGUAGGUGGCAAGCGUUAUCCGGAAUUAUUGGGCGUAAAGCGCGCGUAGGCGGUUUUUUAAGUCUGAUGUGAAAGCCCACGGCUCAACCGUGGAGGGUCAUUGGAAACUGGAAAACUUGAGUGCAGAAGAGGAAAGUGGAAUUCCAUGUGUAGCGGUGAAAUGCGCAGAGAUAUGGAGGAACACCAGUGGCGAAGGCGACUUUCUGGUCUGUAACUGACGCUGAUGUGCGAAAGCGUGGGGAUCAAACAGGAUUAGAUACCCUGGUAGUCCACGCCGUAAACGAUGAGUGCUAAGUGUUAGGGGGUUUCCGCCCCUUAGUGCUGCAGCUAACGCAUUAAGCACUCCGCCUGGGGAGUACGACCGCAAGGUUGAAACUCAAAGGAAUUGACGGGGACCCGCACAAGCGGUGGAGCAUGUGGUUUAAUUCGAAGCAACGCGAAGAACCUUACCAAAUCUUGACAUCCUUUGACAACUCUAGAGAUAGAGCCUUCCCCUUCGGAGGACAAAGUGACAGGUGGUGCAUGGUUGUCGUCAGCUCGUGUCGUGAGAUGUUGGGUUAAGUCCCGCAACGAGCGCAACCCUUAAGCUUAGUUGCCAUCAUUAAGUUGGGCACUCUAAGUUGACUGCCGGUGACAAACCGGAGGAAGGUGGGGAUGACGUCAAAUCAUCAUGCCCCUUAUGAUUUGGGCUACACACGUGCUACAAUGGACAAUACAAAGGGUAGCGAAACCGCGAGGUCAAGCAAAUCCCAUAAAGUUGUUCUCAGUUCGGAUUGUAGUCUGCAACUCGACUACAUGAAGCUGGAAUCGCUAGUAAUCGUAGAUCAGCAUGCUACGGUGAAUACGUUCCCGGGUCUUGUACACACCGCCCGUCACACCACGAGAGUUUGUAACACCCGAAGCCGGUGGAGUAACCUUUUAGGAGCUAGCCGUCGAAGGUGGGACAAAUGAUUGGGGUGAAGUCGUAACAAGGUAGCCGUAUCGGAAGGUGCGGCUGGAUCACCU
rnacentral:rRNA from 1 species